CAAAGGAAGUUGACGGGGGCCCGCACAAGCAGCGGAGCGUGUGGUUUAAUUCGAUGAUACACGAAGAACCUUACCCAGGCUUGACAUGUUGGUAGUAGGGAUCCGAAAGGUGACCGACCCUUCGGGGAGCCUUCACAGGUGCUGCAUGGCUGUCGUCAGCUCGUGUCGUGAGAUGUCCGGUUAAGUCCGGUAACGAGCGCAACCCUCGCUGUAUGUUACGUGUGUCAUACAGGACCGCCGGUAUCAAGCCGGAGGAAGGUGGGGAUGACGUCAAGUCCGCAUGGCCUUUAUGUCCGGGGCUACACACACGCUACAAUGGUCGGUACAAUGGGUUGCUAAGCCGCGAGGUGGAGCCAAUCCCCCAAAGCCGGCCUCAGUUCAGAUUGCAGGCUGCAACUCGCCUGCAUGAAGCUGGAGUUGCUAGUAAACGCGCGUCAGCUAUAGUGCGUUGAAUACGUUCUCGGGCCUU
rnacentral:rRNA from 1 species